rnacentral:rRNA from 1 species
UACGAAGGGGGCUAGCGUUGUUCGGAAUUACUGGGCGUAAAGCGCGCGCAGGCGGCCAUUCAAGUCAGGGGUGAAAGCCCAGAGCUCAACUCUGGAACUGCCCUUGAAACUGUAUGGCUUGAGUAUGAGAGAGGUGAGUGGAAUUCCCAGUGUAGAGGUGAAAUUCGUAGAUAUUGGGAAGAACACCGGUGGCGAAGGCGGCUCACUGGCUCAUUACUGACGCUCAGGCGCGACUGCGUGGGGAGCAAACAGG